UGCCAGCAGCCGCGGUAAUACGGAGGGUGCGAGCGUUAAUCGGAAUUAUUGGGCGUAAAGCGCGCGUAGGUGGAUUGUUAAGUCAGAUGUGAAAGCCCCCGGCUCAACCUCGGAAUAGCAUUUGAAACUGGUCAUCUAGAGUACUGUAGAGGGGGGUAGAAUUUCAGGUGUAGCGGUGAAAUGCGUAGAGAUCUGAAGGAAUACCAGUGGCGAAGGCGGCCCCCUGGACAGAUACUGACACUCAGAUGCGAAAGCGUGGGGAGCAAACAGGAUUAGAUA
rnacentral:rRNA from 1 species